UCGGAGAAGGGAUUACAGUAAACGCCUCUAUCUUCUACGACAGUCGGUACCUUAAGAAAUUUGAGGAAAGAGUCAAGGGUACGAACAUAACGGAGUACUUAACCAAGUUAGCCCAUCAGGCUGAACAACAUUUUCAUAACGAGUCAGUAAUGAUAAAAAUCAGCGUGAGCAGUAUAAUGAAGAAGGAGGAUUGGCUGGUAUUUUAUGACAAUAAAUCCAUUAAUGGGCCCGAAACAUUAAAGAAUAUGACGAAAUACGCACAAUCAUUAGGCGUGUCGAAUAACACUAUUUUAUAUCAUGCUUCAGGAUACUCUAUAUAUUCAGUGGAUAUUGGGCAGAAGAAUCGCUAUCCCUUGUCAG